AUCUAGGAUGAAGUAUGCUCUGGAUUUUCUACGCAAUUAUUAUUACCGUGUGUGAACGAAACCACAACAUACGAAAACUAUAAAGAAUGAAAAGGACGAAAACAACAUUUUUUGUCUUUGUCAUAGUUUCUGUUGGUCACAAUCACAAGUCACAACUAAAGUUGCGACCAACAAAUCAGUUGAGUCCGAUAUUUACUUCGUGAAUUUAUAUGAUUUAAGUGACUUAUGGUAAUUUAAGUGGUGAAACUAAGACGCAGUUGAGUGUUGUAUGAGACUUAUCCUGGUAAUAUGUUAUAUAAUCGGCUGUAAAAGCCGUAUUGAGCAGAAAUUACGAGACAUAACCUUUCAUACAUUUCCAAAGGACUCUGCAAUUCGCCAAUUAUGAAUUCGUGCCACUGGGCCAACCAAACAUACUCGGAUAUGCUGUAGGCAUUUUAAACAAAGUUGUUAAAUCAAUAAGUUAAAAAUAUUUGAAUGUUCUUAUUCAUUAUGCAACAAAAUCUUUUACAAACAAAAUUGCCAACAUAAGAAAUAUGUACCCAAAUUAAUUAUAUUCAAAGGACAAUAAAAA